rnacentral:sRNA from 1 species
UGCGGCUGGCCCUGGAUGCCAUGAGGGUGAGUGGGUGUAGGGUGCUGGUGACUCACCUGCUGCAGACACUCUCCUGGUAGGGGCUGAUCCUCUAGCCGGGGUUAGGUAGGAGCCUGGGUCGGCUGUUGGGGGGCCAGGUUCACCUCUGCCCCCUCCCCAGGACCUGGCUCAGUGCGUGAACGAGGUCAAGCGAGACAACGAGACACUGCGGCAGAUCACCAAUUUCCAGCUGUCCAUUGAGAACCUGGACCAGUCUCUGGCUCACUAUGGCCGGCCCAAGAUCGACGGGGAACUCAAGAUCACCUCGGUGGAACGGCGCUCCAAGAUGGACAGCUUCCAGGUUCGGGACGACUCUUCAGGAGACCGAGAUAACAAGAAGUGGAGCCACAUGUUCCUCCUGAUCGAGGACCAAGGUGCCCAGGGCUAUGAGCUGUUCUUCAAGACAAGAGAAUUGAAGAAGAAGUGGAUGGAGCAGUUUGAGAUGGCCAUCUCCAACAUCUAUCCGGAGAAUGCCACCGCCAACGGGCAUGACUUCCAGAUGUUCUCCUUUGAGGAGACCACGUCCUGCAAGGCCUGUCAGAUGCUGCUUAGAGGUACCUUCUAUCAGGGCUACCGCUGCCAUCGGUGCCGGGCAUCUGCACACAAGGAGUGUCUGGGGAGGGUCCCUCCAUGUGGCCGACAUGGGCAAG